AGAGUUUGAUCCUGGCUCAGGACGAACGCUGGCGGCGUGCCUAAUACAUGCAAGUAGAACGCUGAAGAAAGGAGCUUGCUUCUUUUGGAUGAGUUGCGAACGGGUGAGUAACGCGUAGGUAACCUGCCUUGUAGCGGGGGAUAACUAUUGGAAACGAUAGCUAAUACCGCAUAACAGCUUUUGACACAUGUUAGAAGCUUGAAAGAUGCAAUUGCAUCACUACGAGAUGGACCUGCGUUGUAUUAGCUAGUAGGUAGGGUAACGGCCUACCUAGGCGACGAUACGUAGCCGACCUGAGAGGGUGAUCGGCCACACUGGGACUGAGACACGGCCCUGACUCCUACGGGAGGCAGCAGUAGGGAAUCUUCGGCAAUGGGGGCAACCCUGACCGAGCAACGCCGCGUGAGUGAAGAAGGUUUUCGGAUCGUAAAGCUCUGUUGUAAGAGAAGAACGUGUGUGAGAGUGGAAAGUUCACACAGUGACGGUAACUUACCAGAAAGGGACGGCUAACUACGUGCCAGCAGCCGCGGUAAUACGUAGGUCCCGAGCGUUGUCCGGAUUUAUUGGGCGUAAAGCGAGCGCAGGCGGUUUAAUAAGUCUGAAGUUAAAGGCAUUGGCUUAACCAUUGUUCGCUUUGGAGACUGUUAAACUUGAGUGUAGAAGGGGAGAGUGGAAUUCCAUGUGUAGCGGUGAAAUGCGUAGAUAUAUGGAGGAACACCGGUGGCGAAAGCGGCUCUCUGGUCUGUAACUGACGCUGAGGCUCGAAAGCGUGGGGAGCAAACAGGAUUAGAUACCCUGGUAGUCCACGCCGUAAACGAUGAGUGCUAGGUGUUAGGCCCUUUCCGGGGCUUAGUGCCGCAGCUAACGCAUUAAGCACUCCGCCUGGGGAGUACGACCGCAAGGUUGAAACUCAAAUGAAUUGACGG
rnacentral:rRNA from 1 species